GAAACAACGAAAACCUAGAAGGAGCCACGAAGCCUCUGCAAAAGAAAUAUUUACCAUCAUAUGCAGAAAGCAUUACAAGGAAAUUAAAGAGGGAAUGAAGUCUUCUGGCAUAAAGUUUUACAAGGGAACAAGAAGAGGAAUUUCAUCUUGAUUCAGUGUAGGUAUACGCAGAAACAAAAUUCACACAGUGAAUAAAAGAAAGAGGUAGCCUAACUAAGCUUAUUACGAAUGGAACCACGAGGAAUUUGGUACUUCGCGAAGUUGACACUUAGACUCGUGUUUGUGAUAAUAUAGAUUGAUCGAGGAAGUCGUAUGGACUGCACGAGUUGGCACGCUUGGUAUUUCGAAAGAAAGCAGUUGACGCGAGCGAGGAUUUCGUUAAUUAGAGUACACGAGUUGAUAGUUCCUGGUGAGCCCCGCACUGGUUCGCGUGGGCGAAGAGUUUAUUUAUUGUUAUUGUCUUUUCUUUUGAACUCUUAGAGUCGCUCUAUAGUUGUUUUUAUUAGUGUCACGAGUAUUCAUUUGUUAAAUUGGACUAGUUACUAGUAUUGCACUUUCUUUCUGUAUUUUUUUAGAUGGGCUUAGUAUUAUCUUAUUUAUAAGGUUGGUAGUGUUGGUGAAAACUCGUUCGUUAGUUCAUAAAGAUUGUUGUUGAUUUAGGUGAAUAUUGGUUGGUUGUUAAUUGUUUAUGAGACAGGAAA